rfam:Nicotiana attenuata strain TT chromosome 12, whole genome shotgun sequence.
AUUACAGAUUAUUGUAUUCGACUGUAUUCACGGCAUGAAACAAGGGAUUACACUGUUUUUAAAUGAAAAAUGAGUCAAUUAACAUAAUAGACUCCU